rnacentral:rRNA from 1 species
AUUGAACGCUGGCGGCAGGCCUAACACAUGCAAGUCGAGCGGAUGAAGGGAGCUUGCUCCUGGAUUCAGCGGCGGACGGGUGAGUAAUGCCUAGGAAUCUGCCUGGUAGUGGGGGAUAACGUCCGGAAACGGGCGCUAAUACCGCAUACGUCCUGAGGGAGAAAGUGGGGGAUCUUCGGACCUCACGCUAUCAGAUGAGCCUAGGUCGGAUUAGCUAGUUGGUGGGGUAAAGGCCUACCAAGGCGACGAUCCGUAACUGGUCUGAGAGGAUGAUCAGUCACAUUGGAACUUGAACACGGUCCAGACUCCUACGGGAGGCAGCAGUGGGGAAUAUUGGACAAUGGGCGAAAGCCUGAUCCAGCCAUGCCGCGUGUGUGAAGAAGGUCUUCGGAUUGUAAAGCACUUUAAGUUGGGAGGAAGGGCAGUAAGUUAAUACCUUGCUGUUUUGACGUUACCAACAGAAUAAGCACCGGCUAACUUCGUG